rnacentral:sRNA from 1 species
UAGUACAUUAAUAUCAGCUUUACGAAAA